rnacentral:rRNA from 1 species
UACAGAGGGUGCUAGCGUUGUUCGGAAUCACUGGGCGUAAAGGGCGUGUAGGCGGUGAGGUGUGUCCUUUGUGAAAUCCCUCAGCUUAACUGGGGAAGUGCAUGGGAAACUACCUCGCUAGAGUGCGAGAGGGGAUGGCGGAAUUCCUGGUGUAGAGGUGAAAUUCGUAGAUACCAGGAGGAACACCUGCGGCGAAGGCGGCCAUCUGGAUCGUAACUGACGCUGAUACGCGAAAGCGUGGGGAGCAAACAGG